CAGACCGAGAGCACGGAGCAUGGCCGAGGAGGCGGCAUCGAAGUUGCAUCGCGGAACAGAGACGAGAAGCGAUAAUAAAGUGUAACGCGAACCCGCGGGCCGAGAAUUUCGCAAGGGCAUACUCGUGGUUUCUUCGAUCGCCGGACAAAAUCGGCCAAGGGGAACGGAGAAGGUCCAUACCUCGACGAUUCUUUCGAUGAAAGGUAGGCUGGCACGUGAGCAAGGGAAACGUGAGGGUUACACAACAUCACGCACGAGAAUUACGCGCGUACGACCCAUCGACAGGUGCUGCUGCGAUCAAGCACGACCACCGAUAUCACUUAUCGAUUCGAGGAUUCGAGUGAACGAGAUAAGACAAUUCAUCCAUCGAAUUAAAGUCUGAUGCAAAACAAACGAUCGUGGUGAGCAUCGUGCCGCGAAAUGUGGGACAUCGUGGAACGUAUCCGG